rnacentral:rRNA from 1 species
UACGAAGGGUGCAAGCGUUACUCGGAAUUACUGGGCGUAAAGCGUGCGUAGGUGGUGAGUUAAGUCGGAUGUGAAAUCCCUCGGCUCAACUGAGGAAGUGCAUCCGAAACUGGGCAGGCUUGAGUACUAAAGAGGGUCGCGGAAUUCCCGGUGUAGAGGUGAAAUUCGUAGAUAUCGGGAGGAACACCGGUGGCGAAGGCGGCGACCUGGGUAGAUACUGACGCUGAGGUGCGAAAGCGUGGGGAGCAAACAGG